CCUACGGGGGGCAGCAGUGAGGAAUAUUGGUCAAUGGUCGGGAGACUGAACCAGCCAAGCCGCGUGAGGGAUGAAGGUACAGAGUAUCGUAAACCUCUUUUGUCAGGGAACAAAGGCGGGGACGCGUCCCCGGAUGAGUGUACCUGAAGAAAAAGCAUCGGCUAACUCCGUGCCAGCAGCCGCGGUAAUACGGAGGAUGCGAGCGUUAUCCGGAUUUAUUGGGUUAAAGGGGUGGGCAGGCGGUCUGUUAAGUCAGCGGUAAAAGCCCGGGGCUCAACCCCGGCGCGCCGUUGAAACUGGCAGUCUCGAGUAGGAGAGAAGUAUGCGGAAUGCGCGGUGUAGCGGUGAAAUGCAUAGAUAUCGCGCAGAACUCCGAUUGCGAAGGCAGCAUGCCGGCUCCACACUGACGCUGAGGCACGAAAGCGUGGGUAUCGAACAGGAUUAGAUACCCGGGUAGUC
rnacentral:rRNA from 1 species